AACGAACGCUGGCGGCAUGCCUAACACAUGCAAGUCGAACGAGACCUUCGGGUCUAGUGGCGCACGGGUGCGUAACGCGUGGGAACCUGCCCUUAGGUUCGGAAUAACUCCCCGAAAGGGGUGCUAAUACCGGAUAAUGUCUUCGGACCAAAGAUUUAUCGCCUUUGGAUGGGCCCGCGUUGGAUUAGCUAGUUGGUAGGGUAAAAGCCUACCAAGGCGACGAUCCAUAGCUGGUCUAAGAGGAUGAUCAGCCACACUGGGACUGAGACACGGCCCAGACUCCUACGGGAGGCAGCAGUGGGGAAUAUUGGACAAUGGGCGAAAGCCUGAUCCAGCAAUGCCGCGUGAGUGAUGAAGGCCUUAGGGUUGUAAAGCUCUUUUACCCGGGAUGAUAAUGACAGUACCGGGAGAAUAAGCUCCGGCUAACUCCGU
rnacentral:rRNA from 1 species